rnacentral:rRNA from 1 species
CCUACGGGUGGCAGCAGUGAGGAAUAUUGGUCAAUGGACGAAAGUCUGAACCAGCCAAGUAGCGUGAAGGAUGACUGCCCUAUGGGUUGUAAACUUCUUUUAUAGGGGAAUAAAAUGUUCCACGUGUGGGAUUUUGUAUGUACCAUAUGAAUAAGGAUCGGCUAACUCCGUGCCAGCAGCCGCGGUAAUACGGAGGAUCCGAGCGUUAUCCGGAUUUAUGGGGGUUAAAGGGAGCGUAGGUGGAUUGUUAAGUCAGUGGUGAAAGUUUGCGGCUCAACCGGAAAAUUGCAGUUGAAACUGGCAGUCUUGAGUACAGUAGAGGUGGGCGGACUUCGUGGUGUAGCGGU